UACGUAGGGGGCAAGCGUUAUCCGGAUUUACUGGGUGUAAAGAGAGCGCAGACGGAAGAGGAAGUCAGAUGUGGAAGCCGCGGGCAUAACCCGCGGAGUGCAUUUGAAACUCCUGAUCCAGAGUACUGGAGGGGUGAGCGGAAUUCCUGGUGUAGCGGUGAAAUGCGUAGAUAUCAGGAAGAACACCGGUGGCGAAGGCGGCUCACUGGACAGAGACUGACGUUGAGGCUCGAAAGUGUGGGGAGCAAAC
rnacentral:rRNA from 1 species